GUUGUGGGUGGAAUAUGGCCAUGAAGGAAGACUUCAUAUCACCCAGGCCUUCUCCCUUGGAAGCCAGCAUGUAAGGAGCUGCUUGCGAGAGUGACAGUGCAAGCAUCAGAAGCGGGAACAACACUAAAGGUAAGUGGGAUGGUGCUGGGUAGGAAUUACAGCCGGUGAACCGUCUUCUGCAGUCCUCUUAAUUGUGAAUUAGUUCUCUCUGGUCCUCUCUCCAGGAAAUAGUGGGGCUUUUAGCUAUGUGACAAACUGCAAACCGAAUUUUAUCGCUGCGUGAGAGAGGCUGCAGUGAGAGGCAUAACUCCAUACUGUGCUCUUGCUAAACUAAGUUGGGGACUUGGAGAAAAAAAUCUACAGCACCGUUAAGAAAUAACAUCUCUUUAUCUUUUUCUUCUUCUCCAUGUUGUCACUUACCUCCUUUAACUUUCAUUGUCUGGGAUUUUUUUUUCUCCCCUCAUUGACCUAAUUCUUUCCCAUUGGCUUUCUUUAAGCUUCCCCUGAGCUUGCAAGCUUAUGGUCUUUCCAGCUGUAAUUUUAUGCUGCUUAUGAAAAUGAAGGGUAUCACAUGAAGACACCGCCCUAUUGGAAGGGUGAUAGCUCACGUUCCGAGACUCUCUAGAACUCAAGACACGUUUUUCUUCUCACUCCGUACAAAGUAUGGGAUAUCUCAAUAGAAAUAAGAGAAAGCUGCCCUUUGAUCUCAAAUGUGUUUUGUCUAUGUUCUCUUAUGCUUUUGCCCUCAAAUAAAAGGCAGGUAGGCUGUCCCCCACCUUUCCUGUUGUCCUGGAAACAUGUCUCAUCCUGGUGAACUGCAUCAGUAAGUCUCACCAGAAAGAACAUCUUCCCUUUGGGUUAAUGUUCAUGUGCAUACUGCCUUACAGGCUUUGUGCAUUUAGAAUAAUGCAUGUUUUAUG